UACGUAGGGUGCGAGCGUUAAUCGGAAUUACUGGGCGUAAAGCGUGCGCAGGCGGUUCGCAAAGUCUGAUGUGAAAGCCCACGGCUCAACCGUGGAGGGUCAUUGGAAACUGGGGGACUUGAGUGCAGGAGAGAAGAGUGGAAUUCCACGUGUAGCGGUGAAAUGCGUAGAGAUGUGGAGGAACACCAGUGGCGAAGGCGGGUCUCUGGACAGUUCCUGACGCUGAGGCACGAAGGCCAGGGGAGCAAACGGG
rnacentral:rRNA from 1 species